rnacentral:tRNA from 1 species
GAGGGUAUAGCUCAAGGGUAGAGCGAGUGCUUAGCACACAAGAAGUCCUAGGUUCAAUCCCUAGGACCCCCA